AACGUAGGACGCAAGCGUUAUCCGGAGUUACUGGGCGUAAAGCGCGGGCAGGCGGUGCCUUAAGUCUGAUGUGAAAGCUCCCGGCUCAACCGGGAGAGGCCAUUGGAAACUAGGGUACUGGAGGGCAGUAGAGGUAGGCGGAAUUCCGGGUGGAGUGGUGAAAUGCGUAGAGAUCCGGAGGAACACCAGAGGCGAAGGCGGCCUACUGGGCUGCACCUGACGCUGAGCCGCGAAAGCCAGGGGAGCGAACGGG
rnacentral:misc_RNA from 1 species